GUGAAAACGGAACAGUAACUGCCUUAAAGAUCGUGAGAUGAGAUUAUCCAGGUAUGUCCUAAAUCCAACAGUUAGGUGCUUUCUCAGGAGUCCAGAAGGCCGGACUCACACGUGGCAGAGGCCAUCUGCACACAGCAGCUGAGAACGGAACCCUGCAGCCACGGGCAGAAGGAACAUGAGCUCAAAGAGGAAAGAAGGCUUGAGAAAGGGGCGAAUUAGCCCCGAUGAUACCUGAUUCCAGACCGCCCGCCUCCUGAACUAAUGCACCUCUGAGUGGUCCACCUUCCCCACCUCCAAAUCCUUACUCAAGCUCGGGAUGUUAUCAUCUGUCUUGGAUGGCCUUCCUUCUGGAUCCACAGCCUGCUCUCUCAUGGAUUGCCUCUUCCUCAGAGUCCCUUUUCCAAAAAUAAACCUAAUCUCAACAAUGCCCUGUUUAAAAAUC